GACCCCUUAGCUCAGUGGUAGAGUAUGUGAUUCUAGUCCUCAAAGUCUUCCGUUUGAUCUGGGCAGGGGUCA
rnacentral:tRNA from 1 species